UCAAGAAUGCCUCUUUGUAUGGUGACCUGUGGGAGGAAGUUUAUAUGGAGCAACCUCCUAGGUAUGUUGCUCAAAGGGGAGGACUCAAAAAGUUUGUAGGCUGCACAAAGCCAUUUAUGGGCUCAAACAGUCCCCACAAGCAUGGUUUGAUAAAUUUAGUAAAGUUGUUGCUGCAU